GACGAACGCUGGCGGCGUGCUUAACACAUGCAAGUCGAACGGAAAGGCCCUGCUUUUGUGGGGUGCUCGUGUGGCGAACGGGUGAGUAACACGUGAGUAACCUGCCCUUGACUUUGGGAUAACUUCAGGAAACUGGGGCUAAUACCGGAUAGGAGCUCCUGCUGCAUGGUGGGGGUUGGAAAGUUUCGGCGGUUGGGGAUGGACUCGCGGCUUAUCAGCUUGUUGGUGGGGUAGUGGCUUACCAAGGCUUUGACGGGUAGCCGGCCUGAGAGGGUGACCGGCCACAAUGGGACUGAGAUACGGCCCAGACUCCUACGGGAGGCAGCAGUGGAGAAUAUUGCAGAAUGAGCGGAAGCCUGAUGCAGCGACGCCGCGUGCGGAAUACCGGCUUUCGGGUUGUGAACCGAUUUCGCCUGUGACAAAGCGUGAGUGACGGUAAUGGGUAAAAAAGCACCAGCUAACUACGUG
rnacentral:rRNA from 1 species